UACGUAGGGUGCAAGCGUUGUCCGGAAUUAUUGGGCGUAAAGAGCUCGUAGGCGGUUUGUCGCGUCGGGAGUGAAAACUCAGGGCUUAACUCUGAGCUUGCUUUCGAUACGGGCAGACUUGAGGCAUGCAGGGGAGAACGGAAUUCCUGGUGUAGCGGUGAAAUGCGCAGAUAUCAGGAGGAACACCGGUGGCGAAGGCGGUUCUCUGGGCAUGUUCUGACGCUGAGGAGCGAAAGUGUGGGGAGCGAACAGG
rnacentral:rRNA from 1 species